rnacentral:rRNA from 1 species
UACGGAGGGGGGUUAGCGUUGUUCGGAAUGACUGGGCGUAAAGCGCGCGUAGGCGGACCUGCAAGUCGGGGGGUGAAAUCCCGGGGCUCAACCCUGGAAUGGCCUUCGAGACUGCCGGUCUGAGUUCGAGGGAGGUGGGUGGAAUUCCGAGUGUAGAGGUGAAAUUCGUAGAUAUUCGGAGGAACACCAGUGGCGAAGGCGGCCCACUGGCUCGACACUGACGCUGAGGUGCGAAAGCGUGGGGAGCAAACAGG